GUAGUGAGAUAUACCAUGAUCUCUAUCACAAUAUCAUCGAAACUCUUUUUGAUGGACUAAAACAAUUCCAACUCACUUCAACAAAGAUCGUUGAUCCGAAAAUGAUCUUAGUGAGUUCUCAUGAUCCAUCAGUGACAUCUAGCAAUAUGUAGUAGCAACCUAGCAGAAUAGAAAAGUGAACCCCUAUCGUGAGUUCUGACUUGAUGGAGGUCAUAAAGAACUCGUC
rnacentral:lncRNA from 1 species